GACGAACGCUGGCGGCGUGCUUAACACAUGCAAGUCGAACGGAAAGGCCCUGCUUUUGUGGGGUGCUCGAGUGGCGAACGGGUGAGUAACACGUGAGUAACCUGCCCUUGACUUUGGGAUAACUUCAGGAAACUGGGGCUAAUACCGGAUAGGAGCUCCUGCUGCAUGGUGGGGGUUGGAAAGUUUCGGCGGUUGGGGAUGGACUCGCGGCUUAUCAGCUUGUUGGUGGGGUAGUGGCUUACCAAGGCUUUGACGGGUAGCCGGCCUGAGAGGGUGACCGGCCACAUUGGGACUGAGAGAUGGCCCAGACUCCUACGGGAGGCAGCAGUGGGGAAUAUUGCACAAUGGGCGGAAGCCUGAUGCAGCAACGCCGCGUGCGGGAUGACGGCCUUCGGGUUGUAAACCGCUUUCGCCUGUGACGAAGCGUGAGUGACGGUAAUGGGUAAAGAAGCACCGGCUAACUACGU
rnacentral:rRNA from 1 species